rnacentral:rRNA from 1 species
CCUACGUGGGGCAGCAGUGGGGAAUAUUGCACAAUGGGGGAAACCCUGACGCAGCGACGCCGCGUGAGGGAUGGAGCGUUUCGGCGCGUAAAGCCCUGUCAGCGGGGAAGAAGGAAGACGGUACCCGACCACGGAGCCUCGGCUAACCACGCACCAGCAGCCGCGGUAAUACGGAGGGGGCGAGCGUUAACCGGAAUUACUGGGUGUAAAGGGAUCGUAGACGGCGAGGUAAGCCUGGAGUGGAAGCCCGCGGCCCAACCGCGGAACUGCUUUGGGAACUGGCUUGCUGGAGUAUGGGAGGGGUAAGCGGAAUUCCUGGUGUAGCAGUGAAAUCCGUAGAUAUCAGGAGGAACAUCGGUGGCGAAGGCGACUAACUGGAACAUAACUGACGCUGAGGCGCGAAAGCGUGGGGAGCGAACAGGAUUAGAUACCCGGGUAGUC